rnacentral:rRNA from 1 species
GGUUAAGCGACUAAGCGUACACGGUGGAUGCCCUGGCAGUCAGAGGCGAUGAAGGACGUGCUAAUCUGCGAUAAGCGUCGGUAAGGUGAUAUGAACCGUUAUAACCGGCGAUUUCCGAAUGGGGAAACCCAGUGUGAUUCGUCACACUAUCAUUAACUGAAUCCAUAGGUUAAUGAGGCGAACCGGGGGAACUGAAACAUCUAAGUACCCCGAGGAAAAGAAAUCAACCGAGAUUCCCCCAGUAGCGGCGAGCGAACGGGGAGGAGCCCAGAGCCUGAAUCAGUGUGUGUGUUAGUGGAAGCGUCUGGAAAGGCGCGCGAUACAGGGUGACAGCCCCGUACACAAAAAUGCACAUGCUGUGAGCUCGAUGAGUAGGGCGGGACACGUGGUAUCCUGUCUGAAUAUGGGGGACCAUCCUCCAAGGCUAAAUACUCCUGACUGACCGAUAGUGAACCAGUACCGUGAGGGAAAGGCGAAAAGAACCCCGGCGAGGGGAGUGAAAAGAACCUGAAACCGUGUACGUACAAGCAGUGGGAGCACAGAGCAAUCUGUGUGACUGCGUACCUUUGUAUAAUGGGUCAGCGACUUAUAUUCUGUAGCAAGGUUAACCGAAUAGGGGAGCCGAAGGGAAACCGAGUCUUAACCGGGCGUUAAGUUGCAGGGUAUAGACCCGAAACCCGGUGAUCUAGCCAUGGGCAGGUUGAAGGUUGGGUAACACUAACUGGAGGACCGAACCGACUAAUGUUGAAAAAUUAGCGGAUGACUUGUGGCUGGGGGUGAAAGGCCAAUCAAACCGGGAGAUAGCUGGUUCUCCCCGAAAGCUAUUUAGGUAGCGCCUCGUGAAUUCAUCUCCGGGGGUAGAGCACUGUUUCGGCAAGGGGGUCAUCCCGACUUACCAACCCGAUGCAAACUGCGAAUACCGGAGAAUGUUAUCACGGGAGACACACGGCGGGUGCUAACGUCCGUCGUGAAGAGGGAAACAACCCAGACCGCCAGCUAAGGUCCCAAAGUCAUGGUUAAGUGGGAAACGAUGUGGGAAGGCCCAGACAGCCAGGAUGUUGGCUUAGAAGCAGCCAUCAUUUAAAGAAAGCGUAAUAGCUCACUGGUCGAGUCGGCCUGCGCGGAAGAUGUAACGGGGCUAAACCAUGCACCGAAGCUGCGGCAGCGACACUGUGUGUUGUUGGGUAGGGGAGCGUUCUGUAAGCCUGUGAAGGUGUGCUGUGAGGCAUGCUGGAGGUAUCAGAAGUGCGAAUGCUGACAUAAGUAACGAUAAAGCGGGUGAAAAGCCCGCUCGCCGGAAGACCAAGGGUUCCUGUCCAACGUUAAUCGGGGCAGGGUGAGUCGACCCCUAAGGCGAGGCCGAAAGGCGUAGUCGAUGGGAAACAGGUUAAUAUUCCUGUACUUGGUGUUACUGCGAAGGGGGGACGGAGAAGGCUAUGUUGGCCGGGCGACGGUUGUCCCGGUUUAAGCGUGUAGGCUGGUUUUCCAGGCAAAUCCGGAAAAUCAAGGCUGAGGCGUGAUGACGAGGCACUACGGUGCUGAAGCAACAAAUGCCCUGCUUCCAGGAAAAGCCUCUAAGCAUCAGGUAACAUCAAAUCGUACCCCAAACCGACACAGGUGGUCAGGUAGAGAAUACCAAGGCGCUUGAGAGAACUCGGGUGAAGGAACUAGGCAAAAUGGUGCCGUAACUUCGGGAGAAGGCACGCUGAUAUGUAGGUGAAGUCCCUCGCGGAUGGAGCUGAAAUCAGUCGAAGAUACCAGCUGGCUGCAACUGUUUAUUAAAAACACAGCACUGUGCAAACACGAAAGUGGACGUAUACGGUGUGACGCCUGCCCGGUGCCGGAAGGUUAAUUGAUGGGGUCAGCGCAAGCGAAGCUCUUGAUCGAAGCCCCGGUAAACGGCGGCCGUAACUAUAACGGUCCUAAGGUAGCGAAAUUCCUUGUCGGGUAAGUUCCGACCUGCACGAAUGGCGUAAUGAUGGCCAGGCUGUCUCCACCCGAGACUCAGUGAAAUUGAACUCGCUGUGAAGAUGCAGUGUACCCGCGGCAAGACGGAAAGACCCCGUGAACCUUUACUAUAGCUUGACACUGAACAUUGAGCCUUGAUGUGUAGGAUAGGUGGGAGGCUUUGAAGUGUGGACGCCAGUCUGCAUGGAGCCGACCUUGAAAUACCACCCUUUAAUGUUUGAUGUUCUAACGUGGACCCGUGAUCCGGGUUGCGGACAGUGUCUGGUGGGUAGUUUGACUGGGGCGGUCUCCUCCUAAAGAGUAACGGAGGAGCACGAAGGUUGGCUAAUCCCGGUCGGACAUCAGGAGGUUAGUGCAAUGGCAUAAGCCAGCUUGACUGCGAGCGUGACGGCGCGAGCAGGUGCGAAAGCAGGUCAUAGUGAUCCGGUGGUUCUGAAUGGAAGGGCCAUCGCUCAACGGAUAAAAGGUACUCCGGGGAUAACAGGCUGAUACCGCCCAAGAGUUCAUAUCGACGGCGGUGUUUGGCACCUCGAUGUCGGCUCAUCACAUCCUGGGGCUGAAGUAGGUCCCAAGGGUAUGGCUGUUCGCCAUUUAAAGUGGUACGCGAGCUGGGUUUAGAACGUCGUGAGACAGUUCGGUCCCUAUCUGCCGUGGGCGCUGGAGAACUGAGGGGGGCUGCUCCUAGUACGAGAGGACCGGAGUGGACGCAUCACUGGUGUUCGGGUUGUCAUGCCAAUGGCACUGCCCGGUAGCUAAAUGCGGAAGAGAUAAGUGCUGAAAGCAUCUAAGCACGAAACUUGCCCCGAGAUGAGUUCUCCCUGACCCUUUAAGGGUCCUGAAGGAACGUUGAAGACGACGACGUUGAUAGGCCGGGUGUGUAAGCGCAGCGAUGCGUUGAGCUAACCGGUACUAAUGAACCGUGAGGCUUAACCUU